GGAGUUGUAGCUCAGUGGUAGAGCACUUGCCUCACAAGUGUGAGGCACUGGAUUCAAUUCUA
rnacentral:tRNA from 1 species